rnacentral:tRNA from 1 species
GGGGCGAUGGCGGAAUAGGCAGACGCAGGGGACUUAAAAUCCUCCGACCUGAACAGUCGUGUGGGUUCGACUCCCACUCGCCCCACAA